UCAUACCAUGAUGAUGAAUGGUGGGAGAAUGCAAAGAAUACCUAUUAUAAACAAACUCUCCGGCCCAGUGUGAUAAUGCUUGGUGGAGCAGCCAUACCUGCAGUAGGACUGGUGUCACUCACAGGUUGAUCCUGGAGCUCUACAUUGCGGUAUAAUCGAAGUCCCUAAAGGCUUCCGCAAUCUCCUUUUCCAUGGCCAAGGAACCCUCAGAGGGAGGAGUUAGAACUAGAUGUUGAUCUUUAUCCUCGGAAAGUCUAACAUCCUCAGCAUUUCGUAAAUUACAAUGCCCAGAGACCACCAGUCGACAGAUCUUGAGUAUGGCUCCCUGGCGAGGACUUCUGGUGCCAUGUAGCCAAAAGAUCCUUUCAGGCUACUUGUUCGGCCUUCGUAGCCAAUUCCUGAAAAAAACAGUUAUUGUAAGUAAACGGAUGAUCAUUUGGGGCUUAUUUAUCUGUAUCGACUCAGUUUAAUAAUGUUUAGUUUGAUAAUGAAACUGGGUAAAAUAUUGUCUGUGAAAAAAAUGUUUUCAAUAUAGUCAGCCAAAAAAUUUAAUCCAUAAUAGCUGGAGUAAACCGAUGUCUAAGGUAACA